rnacentral:rRNA from 1 species
GACGAACGCUGGCGGCGUGCUUAACACAUGCAAGUCGAACGGAAAGGCCCUGCUUUUGUGGGGUGCUCGAGUGGCGAACGGGUGAGUAACACGUGAGUAACCUGCCCUUGACUUUGGGAUAACUUCAGGAAACUGGGGCUAAUACCGGAUAGGAGCUCCUGCUGCAUGGUGGGGGUUGGAAAGUUUCGGCGGUUGGGGAUGGACUCGCGGCUUAUCAGCUUGUUGGUGGGGUAGUGGCUUACCAAGGCUUUGACGGGUAGCCGGCCUGAGAGGGUGACCGGCCACAUUGGGACUGAGAUACGGCCCAGACUCCUACGGGAGGCAGCAGUGGGGAAUAUUGCACAAUGGGCGGAAGCCUGAUGCAGCAACGCCGCGUGCGGGAUGACGGCCUCCGUGUUGUAAACCGCUUUCGCCUGUGACGAAGCGUGAGUGACGGUAAUGGGUAAAGAAGCACCGGCUAACUACGUG